rnacentral:rRNA from 1 species
UCCAGUGACUAUCGCGAAGGGGCACCACCCGUUGCCAUCCCGACCACGGUCGUUAAGCCCUUCCGCGCCGAUGGUACUGCCCGGGUCACCGGGUGGGAGAGUAGGUCAUCGCUGGAC